GUGUGGUCCAGGCCCUUCAGGGGCUCAGGUGCUCGUGGAAGAAGUGGACAUUGAAGUACUUAUCACACAAAUGAGGAUAAAAGUACGAUAGCGAUAUCUACCACGAAGACAGAAUCAACGGUUUCUGGGUCUGAGAUGUUGCAUACACCUUCUCAGUCCCUGUAUCCUGAGAUGGAGUCACCUGAGAAUCCACAGCAAGUCCUAACCAGGGAUGGGUCUGGGUGAUUAAGGAAGGUUGGCUUCAGAACUGGGCCAGGGGCACUGCUUUGCUUUUGCUGUUUUGAUCAGCUCUCUGCCUGAAGGAGACAAGAAAAACCAACGGGAACAGCCCAGUAAAGGCGCCAUUCCCCAUUUUACAGCUGGGGAAACUGAGUUACAGAGCUUGUCUGCACUGAGUCAUCAGGAGCAAAUGCUAGAUCAGAUAGGGUCUCUCUCUCUGCCACCCAGGCCAGAGUGCAGUUGACGCAGGGCAGGGGAGCCCCGAAGUGGAGCAUAGUGUGUCCGGAACUGGUGGGUUCUUGGUCUCACUGACUUCAA
rnacentral:lncRNA from 1 species